rnacentral:lncRNA from 1 species
UUUGACUUCAGAGCAACCCCUGCAGCCUGACAGAAGGGAGACCUGCCCUGGGCUGCUUCUUGCUUUGCCCUUCAGCCCUAGCUUGGCAGAACCUUCCCAGACCCAGCCCACCUGGGCAGAGCCUAAGAAGGAGUUAGGAGAAAGACUUACAGGACUCAACGAGUGGCAGGCUGAUGAUGGCUGUGCCUGGGAAAGCAGAGAAAGCCUCCUAAAGGAGG